GAAUGACACCAGGGGUGCAAGUGUCAAUACUUGCUGAGAAAGACCCUUACAACCUGUUCAGGAUAAUGCCUGCGAAGGGAGAGUGAAAUGCAAAUAAA
rnacentral:ncRNA from 2 species